ACCUGGGUGGCUCAGUCGGUUGAGCGUCUGACUUUGGCUCAGAUUAUGUUCUCAUGGUUCAUGGGUUCGAGCCCCACAUUAGGCU
rfam:Felis catus isolate Cinnamon breed Abyssinian chromosome B3, whole genome shotgun sequence.